GAUGGACGCUGGCGGCGUGCUUAACACAUGCAAGUCGAACGAAGCACUCUACUUGAUCUCUUCGGAGUGAUUGUUUUGUGACUGAGUGGCGGACGGGUGAGUAACGCGUGGGUAACCUGCCUCAUACAGGGGGAUAACAGUUGGAAAAGACUGAUAAUACCGAAUAAGCGCACAGCAUCGCAUGAUGCAGUGUGAAAAACUACGGUGGUAUGGGAGGGACCCGGGUCUGAUUAGCCAGUUGGUGGGGUAACGGCCAACCAAAGCGACGAUCAGUGGCCGACCUGAGCGAGUGACCAGCCACAUUGGGACAGAGACACGGCCCAAACUCCUACGGGAGGCAGCAGUGGGGAAUAUUGCACAAUGGGGGAAACCCUGAUGCAGCGACGCCGCGUGAGCGAAGAAGUAUUUCAGUAUGUAAAGCUCUAUCAGCAGGGAAGAAGAAAUGACGGUACCUGACUAAGAAGCACCGGCUAAAUACGUGCCAGCCGCCGCAGUAU
rnacentral:rRNA from 1 species